rnacentral:rRNA from 1 species
AUUGAACGCUGGCGGCAGGCCUAACACAUGCAAGUCGAACGGAGCGGCGGACGGGUGAGUAAUGCCUAGGGAUCUGCCUGGUAGUGGGGGAUAACGUCCGGAAACGGGCGCUAAUACCGCAUACUAUCAGAUGAGCCUAGGUCGGAUUAGCUAGUUGGUGGGGUAAAGCCCUACCAAGGCGACGAUCCGUAACUGGUCUGAGAGUAUGAUCAGUCACCCUGGAACUGAGACACGGUCCAGACUCCUACGGGAGGAAGCAGUGGGGAAUAUUGGACAAUGGGCGAAAGCCUGAUCCAGCCAUGCCGCGUGUGUGAAGAAGGUCUUCGGAUUGUAAAGCACUUUAAGUUGGGAAGCGUUACCAACCCAAUAAGCACCGGCUAACUUCGUGCCAGCAGCCGCGGUAAUAC